ensembl:lncRNA
GUUGUCUCUUAGCUCUGUUAGUGGUUUCUCUUGCAGUAUAGAAGCUUUUUAAUAAAAUGACAUCCCAGUUGUUGAUUCUUUGUGCUAGUUCCCGUCCUACUGAGGUUUUGUUCAUAAAGUCUUUUCCUGCACCAAUGUCUUCAAGAGUUGUACCUAACUUAUCUUCCAGCAACUUUAGUGUUUCUGUUUUAAUAUUUAGAUUUUAAUCCACUUUGAUCUUAGUUUAGUGCAUGGUGUUAGAUAUGGGUCUAGUUUUAAUCUUUGGCAGGUUGAAAUCCAGUUUUUCCAACACCAUUUCUUAAAGAGGCUAUCUUUCCUCCAGCGAGGGUGGUUGGCUCCUUUGUCAAAGAUGAGGUGGCUGAGUGUGUCUGGAGUUGUUUCUGCAUCUUCUGAUCUACUUCACUGAUCCUCAGGUCUGUUUGUUUGCCAGUACCAUGCUGUUUUUUAUCACAGUAGCUUUGUAAUAUAGUUUCAUGUUGGGGGCUGUGAUAGCCCCUGCCAUGUCUCUAUUGCCUAGAAUUGCUUUUGCUAUUCUAGGUCUCUUCUGGUUCCAAAUGAAUUUUUGUAUUGUUUUCUAUAGUUCUGUGAAAUAUGUAGUUGGAAUAUCAAUUGGCAUUGCAUUAAAUCUAUAUUAGCUGAGUAAUUUUGAGUAAACUAUUCAAUUUUUUUUCUGUGUGGCUGGUAUUAACAUUUCUGAAAUUUUGCCUGGCCAGCAAGCUUCAGACUGCUACUGCUGCUCUCCAGAUUUAUGCACAGAUACUUGAGCCAAUAAUUGCCCUUUCUUACUAAGUGCAACUUGACCCCAGGCUCAUUUCUGAUGAGCCUGAAAUGAGCUGGAACAUGUUUUAGUUUACAUGAAUGUCUUGUUGUUGUUGUUGUUGUUGUUGUUGUUGACUUCAGCCUGGUACUUGCUUUGCCUCCUAAGGAUGAGGGAUGUGUACUUUUUCAGACAGCACAACAAGUACUUAUUGUUUGUCUGCACUCUAUUCUAUUUAUAGAUACUAUAUUCUUUAACCCACAUAACAACAUUCAGUUGUAGUGCUAAUAUCACUUCCAUUCUAUAGAUAAGGAAAUUCAGGAGUAGAGAAAUUAAACAGUUUGCUCAAGGUCU